rnacentral:rRNA from 1 species
AUUGAACGCUGGCGGCAGGCUUAACACAUGCAAGUCGAGCGAGCGGCGGACGGGUGAGUAUUGUCUAGGAAUCUGCCAGAUGGCGGGGGAUAACUACUGGCAACGGUAGCUAAUACCGAAUACUACAAUAUGUUCGCAGGUGGGAUUGGCUAGUAGGUGGGGUAAUGUCUCACCUAGGCGACGAUCCCUAGCUGGUCUGAGAGGAUGACCAGCAACACGGGAACUGGGAAACGUCCCAGACUCUUACGGGGGGAAGCAGUGGGGAAUAUUGCAAAAUGGGGGAAAGCCUGAUGCAGCAAUGCCGCGGGUGUGAAGAAGGCCUUCGGGUUGUAAAGCACUUUCAGCGAGGAGGCGUUACUCGCAGAGGAAGCACCGGCUAACUCCGUGCCAGCAGCCGCGGUAAUUC